AGUGAACGCUGGCGGUAGGCCUAACACAUGCAAGUCGAACGGCAGCACAGUAAGAGCUUGCUCUUACGGGUGGCGAGUGGCGGACGGGUGAGGAAUACAUCGGAAUCUACUUUUUCGUGGGGGAUAACGUAGGGAAACUUACGCUAAUACCGCAUACGACCUACGGGUGAAAGCAGGGGAUCUUCGGACCUUGCGCGAUUGAAUGAGCCGAUGUCGGAUUAGCUAGUUGGCGGGGUAAAGGCCCACCAAGGCGACGAUCCGUAGCUGGUCUGAGAGGAUGAUCAGCCACACUGGAACUGAGACACGGUCCAGACUCCUACGGGAGGCAGCAGUGGGGAAUAUUGGACAAUGGGCGCAAGCCUGAUCCAGCCAUACCGCGUGGGUGAAGAAGGCCUUCGGGUUGUAAAGCCCUCUUGUUGGGAAAGAAAAGCAGCAGGUUAAUACCCCGCUAUUCUGACGGUACCCAAAGAAUAAGCACCGGCUAACUUCGUG
rnacentral:rRNA from 1 species